GCGUCUGCUGUCUCACUGACGCACGCUGCUGGCGCAAGUGGCGCCUUGGGACUGGGCCUGAGAAGGCAGGAGUUAUUCAUCCCCCCAAGCUUUCAGGCCCCGGGGAGAAUCUUUCAUUCCUGUCUAUUUGUCUUCUGUAGAAGAGGGAAGAGGGACGACUUUCUCACUAACUACUUCAGGCAUGACAUAGGGGGUGGCGUGGGCACCUCGGAAACAAAAGAAAAAACUUAAUUUGGGGGAUUUUGAGAGACGGGUUGGCAUCCACCGUGCCGUUGUAGCAGGAGCAUGGUUUGGAUCGUCUGGCGGUUUACUGUAGUUUCAACAAGAGUUUUAAUGGCUUUCAUUAUCAGUGGGAUAACACGGGAGAAACAGGAGGACCCCAGUGGUGAAGAUGCCCGUCCCUACCAGCGUUUUACAUCCUCCUAAAUUAGAGAACCGCCCCCUGGAAGGUUUGCCGGGUCCCAUCCCGUCCAGGUUUGGACUGGACCUUGGGCUACUUUUCCGAUGUUUGAGGCGAUUUCUAGAACCGCUUUUCCGUUAUCGUCUGUGUUAAGACAGCAGUUGGAGGUAUUAAACUCACCACAGACCCCACCGUCUUCUGCUAGUAAGUGUCCAGUGCCAGCCUGUGUUGAUAAAUUGCCGCGCGCAUUUGGUUUUGUUGUUGCGCGAGCAUUUCCAGGGCUGAGGCGCUUUGGUUGGUGAUGGUCUCUAGAGCAGUCUGUGGUCUGAUUAUUCUAUUUAGCGUGUAUAUGGAAUGGCCCUGUGAACCAUCCUCUGCCCGGGUGGCAGGACUGUAAUAUUUGAUGAUCCGUUGCGGAGGCCACUCGUCCUCUUGCCGUCUUUGGCUUCCUCCUACCUUUAAGGACUGUUUUUCUCUGGUUGUCAUACACAGGGACUCUGAGGGUGUUGCCCACCUGCUUUGGAAGUAAAAAGAAUCCAGGUUUAAUUGUGCCUAAGAAGCAAGUACCUUGCCAGUGAUAAGGUAGCCAUGAGGAAGCCUGGGUUCCACAUAUCCAAAGAAUCCAUCAGGGGCAGUCCAUUGUAGGCUGGUGUUCAUGGGAUUGUCGCAUAGUGCACUUAGGCAGGGGUGUGCGGCCUAAGGGUUAGUGGUAUUUAUACAGUUCCAGGCCUUUGUUGACAAGACACAAUUGAGAUAGCUUAAGUUAGAAGGAGACCAUGCUCCGAGGGGUAACCGUGGCCACCACUCAGCUGUGGAGGUGUUGACUGUUAGGGUUUGGUGACAGGAGUUUCGCCUACGGCGCAAUGGGUUUUAUCAGUCCACUUGUGGGAUAUUCUCGCCGUCCCACUUACUGGGUUGGUAGGUGUCCAGGACUGCGGGCGUUCCUGAGGAGUGAAAGUGAGGCUGGGGUUUUGAAAUGCUAGUAAUUAAGAGGGAUGUCUGUGCCGUCCCACGGCCACUGUUCACUCGUACGAGCUCCCCCGCACACCCAGCGAUUGGACACAUUCGUGGAAGUGUCCCUGUCUGAUGUAACUGCUAUGUGGUACCCGGAUGUCUCUCUCCAUCCUCAGGGAUAGGUGUCUUCCGGCCAGCCCUCUUCCCGCUUCUGCUGUCUCACUGACAAACGCUACUGGUACAAGUGGCCUUGCACCUUGGGACUGGGCCUGAGAAGGGAGGAGUUACUCAUCCCCCCACACUUUCAGGCCCCGGGGAGAAUCUUUCAAAGCUCAUAAUCCCAGCACUUUGGGAGGCAGAGGAGGGGGAUCAUGAGGCCAAGAGAUUGAGACCGUCCUGGCCAAGAUGGUGAAACCCCGUCUCUACUAAAAAUACAAAAGUUAGCUGGGUGUAGUGGCACACGCCUGUAGUCCCAGCUACCCAGGAAGCUAAGGCAGGAGAAUCGCUUGAACCGGGGAAGCGGAGGCUGCAGUGAGUUGAGAUUGCGCCACUGCACUCCAGCCUGGCAACAGAGCAAGACUCCGUCUCAGAAAACAAAACAACAA